UCUACCUUCAACAACACAUAUCAUUGCAAUGACAUCAUAUACCAAUGCUACAUUGACAAUAAAAGCAACACUUUCCCCACAACCAGGCAACAACUCUACUUCCACAACACCCGCCCCUCCACCACCAGAGGUUAAGCUGGAGUACAAAUUGGAGCAAAACUUCACCGCAGACUUGACUAAUGCAUCAUCACCACAUUUUCAAGCAUUAGCAGCAAGUGUUGCUACAGUGCUGGACAGUGAUUACAAACACAAAUAUGGAUCCAGUUUCAAUCACACAGUGGUUCUUGGUUUCAGUGAAGGUUCGGUUGUGGUAUAYACUSUGCUACUAUUCAACAAUAACACAGCUGCUCCCACAACAACCACUUCUGCUCCCACAACAACCACAGCUACUCCAACAACAACCACAGCUGCUCUGACCACAGUUACAACUGGUUCUUCAACCACUACCACAACACCAGCCCCUCCACCAC